rnacentral:rRNA from 1 species
AGCAGCCGCGGUAACACCAGCUCCACUAGCCUAUACAAUCAUUGUUGCGGUUAAGAGGCUCGUAGUUGGAUUGAACGAUUACAUACAUCUGUUUUUAAAUUUAUUGCAAAAUAUUUUUAUACUACAAAACAGAAUGUUGUAAGAUUCGCAUUAAAUAAAAAAAAAAUACUUUUUUUUCACCCACACACACAGUUGAAAAUUAAAUCAUAUUUUUUUUUUUGCAGCGAAACUUGUCAAUUUUAUAAAAACCAUAUUUCAACACUGUGAACAAAUCAGAGUGUAUCAAACAUGUCGUUUUCGAAUGUGCAUUGAAUGUCUUAUCAUGGAACGUUGCUUUGUACAUUUUUAAAUUUUUUACACACACACACUAUAUAAAAUAUGACAAUUUUUUUGCAAAUUUUAAAAUAUUUUUCUUAUUUUUGCCUUUGCGCAAAAGUGUAAAAAAUGUACUUUUAUGUCGAUGGGGAUAGUUGGAGCCAAGAGUACUGCUGGGCGAGAGGUGAAAUUCGUUGACCCUAGCAAGACUACCAAAAGCGAAAGCACUUGGCUAGGCUACACCCUUUGUGUCGUUUUUUUAUUGCUUUACAACUGUACUUCUAAUUUUUUUACACACACACAAAAAUAUAGUGCAGCAUGUUGUUAUUGUAGUAAAAUAAAAAAACACUUUACAAUGAAGAACGAAGGUUGGGGGAUCAAAGAGGAUCAGAUACCCUCGUCGUCCCAUUCGUACAUCAAACGAUGGCUCUCAAUUGCAUAUACUAAGUCUAGUUUAUGCCCUCAACUGCAAAUUUGACUGAGCUAUCCUCCGAUACUGCUCGUCAGUUGUAUACUGGUUUCGAUGGACAUUUUUCUGAACUAUCUAAUUUGACGUGAUACGUAAUAUUUAAUAUUCGUUCACUUGAUUUUAGGAGCUUUGCGCUCAAUUGGUGAGAUGUAAGCACUUUGUAAUCUGCCCUCAAGACAAGCGGAUUUACUACGGGUAUCUGCUGUGUUUUGCUGUGUGUAGUUUUACAUACUUUGCGCGAUGCACGCUUUAGGCACGCGCUUACUGCAGAAAUGUCUGAGACAUUCCCCUCCGGGGGUAGUAUGCACGCAAGUGUGAAACUUGAAGGAAUUGACGGAAGGGCACCACAAGAACGCGUGGAGCAUGUGGCUUAAUUUGACUCAACGCGGGAAAUCUUACCGGGUCCGGACACACUGAGGAUUGACAGGCAAAAGAUACAAGUUUUUUCGGGAAUUUGCAUUGUAAAAUAUGCGAGUCCUUUCAUGAUUAUGUGAUAGGUGGUGCAUGGCCGUUCUUAGUUCGUGGAGUGAUCUGUCUGCUUAAUUGCGUUUCACAACGAUUUAAAAUGCUAUGUUUCCGCGUUUGCUGUUCGGUUCUUACCUUCGGGUUUAACUUUGAACGCACGUGGCGUAGUUUAAAACAAUCGGAAAGCAACGAACGUGACCGCAACCUCUUGUUGCCUUUAUUUUUAAAGCGUAGAAUUACUAUUUUUCGGAAUAGUACUUUUUACGUUGAAAAAGGCUUUAAAACUAGAGGGACCGCUGUUCUAUUUUCUUAAACCAGAGGAAGAUUGCGGCAAUAACAGGUCUGUG